rnacentral:rRNA from 1 species
UACAGAGGGUGCAAGCGUUAAUCGGAAUUACUGGGCGUAAAGCGUGCGCAGGCGGUUUUGUAAGACAGGCGUGAAAUCCCCGGGCUUAACCUGGGAAUGGCGCUUGUGACUGCAAAGCUGGAGUGCGGCAGAGGGGGAUGGAAUUCCGCGUGUAGCAGUGAAAUGCGUAGAUAUGCGGAGGAACACCGAUGGCGAAGGCAAUCCCCUGGGCCUGCACUGACGCUCAUGCACGAAAGCGUGGGGAGCAAACAGG